rnacentral:sRNA from 1 species
GGGGGUGAAAGGGCUAAACAAACUUGGAAAUAGCUGGUUCUCUCCGAAAACUAUUUAGGUAGUGCCUCAAGUAUUACCUGCGGGGGUAGAGCACUGUUUAGGCUAGGGGGUCAUGGCGACUUACCAAACCUAUGCAAACUCCGAAUACCGCAGAGUACAGCUUGGGAGACAGAGCACCGGGUGCUAACGUCCGGACUCAAGAGGGAAACAACCCAGACCGCCAGCUAAGGUCCCUAAAAUUGGCUAAGUGGGAAACGAAGUGGGAAGGCUAAAACAGUUAGGAUGUUGGCUUAGAAGCAGCCAUCAUUUAAAGAAAGCGUAAUAGCUCACUGAUCGAGUCGUCCUGCGCGGAAGAUGUAACGGGGCUAAGCCAGUUACCGAAGCUGCGGAUUUGCAAUUUAUUGCAAGUGGUAGGAGAGCGUUCUGUAAGCCUGUGAAGGUGCCUGGUAACGGGUGCUGGAGGUAUCAGAAGUGCGAAUGCUGACAUGAGUAGCGUUAAAGGGGGUGAAAAGCCCCCUCGCCGUAAGCGCAAGGUUUCCUACGCAACGUUCAUGUCGACGCGGCC